rnacentral:rRNA from 1 species
UACGUAGGGUGCGAGCGUUAAUCGGAAUUACUGGGCGUAAAGCGUGCGCAGGCGGUUUUGUAAGUCAGAUGUGAAAUCCCCGGGCUCAACCUGGGAACUGCGUUUGAAACUACAAGGCUAGAGUGUAGCAGAGGGGGGUAGAAUUCCACGUGUAGCAGUGAAAUGCGUAGAGAUGUGGAGGAAUACCAAUGGCGAAGGCAGUCCCCUGGGUUAACACUGAC